rnacentral:rRNA from 1 species
UACGAAGGGUGCAAGCGUUACUCGGAAUUACUGGGCGUAAAGCGUGCGUAGGUGGUUUGUUAAGUCUGUUGUGAAAGCCCUGGGCUCAACCUGGGAAUGGCAUUGGAUACUGGCGAGCUAGAGUGCGGUAGAGGGUAGUGGAAUUCCCGGUGUAGCAGUGAAAUGCGUAGAGAUCGGGAGGAACAUCUGUGGCGAAGGCGACUACCUGGACCAGCACUGACACUGAGGCACGAAAGCGUGGGGAGCAAACAGG